rnacentral:rRNA from 1 species
UACGUAGGGUGCGAGCGUUGUCCGGAAUUAUUGGGCGUAAAGAGCUCGUAGGCGGCUUGUUGCGUCGGAUGUGAAAACCCGGGGCUCAACUCCGGGCUUGCGGGCGAUACGGGCAGGCUAGAGUUCGGUAGGGGAGACUGGAAUUCCUGGUGUAGCGGUGAAAUGCGCAGAUAUCAGGAGGAACACCGGUGGCGAAGGCGGGUCUCUGGGCCGAUACUGACGCUGAGGAGCGAAAGCGUGGGGAGCGAACAGG